GAUGAAGAACGUAGCGAAAUGCGAUACUUGGUGUGAAUUGCAGAAUCCCGUGAACCAUCGAGUCUUUGAACGCAAGUUGCGCCCGAAGCCAUCAGGUUGAGGGCACGUCUGCCUGGGCGUCACAUAUCGUUGCCCAAUGCCUAUUGCAGUGCAAUAGGAAUUUCUAGGGCGAAUGAUGGCUUCCCGUGAGCGUUGUUGCCUCGAGGUUGGUUGAAAAUCGAGUCCUUGGUAGGGUGUGCCAUGGUAGAUGGUGGUCGAGUUAGAACGAUACCGAUCAUGUGCAUGCUCCCCAAAAUAUGGCCUCUAUGACCCACACGCGUCUUUUGACGCUCAUGACGAGACCUCAGGUCAGGCGGGGCUACCCGCUGAAUUUAAGCAUAUCAAUAAGCGGAGGA
rnacentral:misc_RNA from 1 species